rnacentral:lncRNA from 1 species
UUAAUCAGAUACAUAUAUUCUGUUAUAUUGAUAGUAAGAAGUGAGGUUAAUAACUCAAAAUUAAGAGAUACGAUUCAUGUCAACGCUAUUUCUUUUAUAUGGAUUUAUACGGAUUUUUUUAUACUAAUAAUUACACAUUAUACAAUGAAUAAAACUGGAAAUAUGUUGACUAAUAAUUUUGUUGAUUCUGAAUAUAUACCGAUAUCAGAUGUAAAUAUUUUACGAGAAAGAAACAAAUAAACAAAGAGAAAUUGAUUUAAUUUCUCAUGAAGAAUUUCAAUGGAAAGACAAGCUUGUAUGGAACAAACAAGCUAUUUUUGCACUUUUAUCUGCUUAUGAAGCUCGUGAUAUUGAAGUUGAUAAUACAAAAAAAGUUUUGGCAAUCAAUUGCAAAAGAUCUGAAUGGAUUAUGUUUAUUUGAAAUUCAAGUAAUCAAGUUAAAUGGAAAUUUAGUGCAUCUGAAAAAAAUCAUAACAAAAAAAAA